AGGUGGGGACGACGUCAAGUCAUCAUGGCCCUUACGAGUAGGGCUACACACGUGCUACAAUGGCGCAUACAGAGGGCAGCCAACUUGCGAAAGUGAGCGAAUCCCAAAAAGUGCGUCGUAGUCCGGAUUGGAGUCUGCAACUCGACUCCAUGAAGUCGGAAUCGCUAGUAAUCGUGGAUCAGAAUGCCACGGUGAAUACGUUCCCGGGCCUUGUACACACCGCCCGUCACACCAUGGGAGUGGGCUGCAAAAGAAGUAGGUAGUUUAACCUUCGGGGGGACGCUUACCACUUUGUGGUUCAUGACUGGGGUGAAGUCGUAACAAGGUAGCGCUAGGGGAACCUGGCGCUGGAUCACCUCCUUA
rnacentral:rRNA from 1 species